CGACUCUCGGCAACGGAUAUCUCGGCUCUCGCAUCGAUGAAAGAACGUAGCGAAAUGCGAUACUUGGUGUGAAUUGCAGAAUCCCGUGAACCAUCGAGUCUUUGAACGCAAGUUGCGCCCUAGGCCAUCGGGCCGAGGGCACGUCUGCCUGGGCGUCACGCAUCGCGUCGCCCUCCCUCGAACACCAUUGUGGCGGUCGAGUGUGGAGCGGAGAUUGGCCCCCCAUUCCCCCGUUGGGGUGUGGUCGGCCUAAAAGGAAUGGCCCCCGUGUGACGAGCACCACGACGAGAGGUGGUUGUAUCCAACUCUGCUAGAYGUCACGUGCUUCGUCUCCGUGGGCUGUCUAUGGAACCCUCUGAUCAUACGACUGCGACCCCA
rnacentral:misc_RNA from 1 species